AAUAAACAAACCCGUAAACUGUUUUAUACAGAGACAGCAAAAUCUUGGUUUAUUAAAGGACAGUGUUACUCCAGAUAACACGUAAGUUUCUUCUUGCUUUUCAGAGACCUGCUUUCCCCUCCUCCCGUCUCCCCUCUCUUGCCUUCUUCCUUGCCUCUCACCUGUAAGAUAUUAUUUUAUCCUAUGUUGAAGGGAGGGGGAAAGUCCCCGUUUAUGAAAGUCGCUUUCUUUUUAUUCAUGGACUUGUUUUAAAAUGUAAAUUGCAACAUAGUAAUUUAUUUUUAAUUUGUAGUUGGAUGUCGUGGACCAAACGCCAGAAAGUGUUCCCAAAACCUGACGUUAAAUUGCCUGAAACUUUAAAUUGUGCUUUUUUUCUCAUUAUAAAAAGGGAAACUGUAUUAAUCUUAUUCUAUCCUCUUUUCUUUCUUUUUGUUGAACAUAUUCAUUGUUUGUUUAUUAAUAAAUUACCAUUCAGUUUGAAUGAGACCUAUAUGUCUGGAUACUUUAAUAGAGCUUUAAUUAUUACGAAAAAAGAUUUCAGAGAUAAAACACUAGAAGUUACCUAUUCUCCACCUAAAUCUCUGAAAAAUGGAGAAACCCUCUGACUAGUCCAUGUCAAAUUUUACUAAAAGUCUUUUUGUUUAGAUUUAUUUUCCUGCAGCAUCUUCUGCAAAAUGUACUAUAUAGUCAGCUUGCUUUGAGGCUAGUAAAAAGAUAUUUUUCUAAACAGAUUGGAGUUGGCAUAUAAACAAAUACGUUUUCUCACUAAUGACAGUCCAUGAUUCGGAAAUUUUAAGCCCAUGAAUCAGCCGCGGUCUUACCACGGUGAUGCCUGUGUGCCGAGAGAUGGGACUGUGCGGCCAGAUAUGCACAGAUAAAUAUUUGGCUUGUGUAUUCCAUAUAAAAUUGCAGUGCAUAUUAUACAUCCCUGUGAGCCAGAUGCUGAAUAGAUAUUUUCCUAUUAUUUCAGUCCUUUAUAAAAGGAAAAAUAAACCAGUUUUUAAAUGUAUGUAUAUAAUUCUCCCCCAUUUACAAUCCUUCAUGUAUUACAUAGAAGGAUUGCUUUUUUAAAAAUAUACUGCGGGUUGGAAAGGGAUAUUUAAUCUUUGAGAAACUAUUUUAGAAAAUAUGUUUGUAGAACAAUUAUUUUUGAAAAAGAUUUAAAGCAAUAACAAGAAGGAAGGCGAGAGGAGCAGAACAUUUUGGUCUAGGGUGGUUUCUUUUUAAACCAUUUUUUCUUGUUAAUUUACAGUUAAACCUAGGGGACAAUCCGGAUUGGCCCUCCCCCUUUUGUAAAUAACCCAGGAAAUGUAAUAAAUUCAUUAUCUUAGGGUGAUCUGCCCUGCCAAUCAGACUUUGGGGAGAUGGCGAUUUGAUUACAGACGUUCGGGGGGGUGGGGGGCUUGCAGUUUGUUUUGGAGAUAAUACAGUUUCCUGCUAUCUGCCGCUCCUAUCUAGAGGCAACACUUAAGCAGUAAUUGCUGUUGCUUGUUGUCAAAAUUUGAUCAUUGUUAAAGGAUUGCUGCAAAUAAAUACACUUUAAUUUCAGUC
rnacentral:lncRNA from 1 species